GACGAACGCUGGCGGCGUGCUUAACACAUGCAAGUCGAACGAAGAGCGAUGGAAGCUUGCUUCUAUCAAUCUUAGUGGCGAACGGGUGAGUAACGCGUAAUCCACCUGCCCUUCAGAGGGGGACAACAGUUGGAAACGACUGCUAAUACCGCAUACGAUCUAAUCUCGGCAUCGAGGAUAGAUGAAAGGUGGCCUCUACAUGUAAGCUAUCACUGAAGGAGGGGAUUGCGUCUGAUUAGCUAGUUGGGGGGGUAACGGCCCACCAAGGCGAUGAUCAGUAGCCGGUCUGAGAGGAUGAACGGCCACAUUGGGACUGAGACACGGCCCAGACUCCUACGGGAGGCAGCAGUGGGGGAUCUUCCGCAAUGGAGGAAAGUCUGACGGGGCAACGCCGCGUGAGUGAUGACGGGCUUCGGGUUGUAAAGCUCUGUUAAUCGGGACGAAAGGCCUUCUUGCGAAUAGUGAGAAGGAUUGACGGUACCGGAAUAGAAAGCCACGGCUAACUACGUG
rnacentral:rRNA from 1 species